rnacentral:rRNA from 1 species
CGACACAGGUGGUCAGGUAGAGAAUACCAAGGCGCUUGAGAGAACUCGGGUGAAGGAACUAGGCAAAAUGGUGCCGUAACUUCGGGAGAAGGCACGCUGAUAUGUAGGUGAGGUCCCUCGCGGAUGGAGCUGAAAUCAGUCGAAGAUACCAGCUGGCUGCAACUGUUUAUUAAAAACACAGCACUGUGCAAACACGAAAGUGGACGUAUACGGUGUGACGCCU